rnacentral:lncRNA from 1 species
UAUAUUUCCAGGAAAACUGCCACUUUUAUUGAACCUUACUUGUAGUAGACAAAAGCGACGCGCUCUUGAUCGACACUGUGUUAUCUUGCUACACUGUCGACGUCGUCUAGCGAGGAGCUUGCCCGAUUGGUCAUGAUGAGCCGUUGCGCAAACGGCUAGUGUUUACAGCAUAGCAAUUCCUUCCCUAACAAAAAAGAGCCUUAACAUGUGGCACCUUCAGCAGUCAUCAGGCUGCAAUGACCGCUGCUCCUAUCUUUUCCUUCCUGCACGACGCCGCUACAAUCGCCGCCAUUUUUGUUAAAUGCUUAGUAGCUUUAGUCUCGUAUCUUGUCUUGAUGUGCUCUUUUGACACUAAUAAUAAAAUAAUAGCCUGGUAUUGCAAUAUAAGCAUUUCUCGGAAAAGCUCGGAUUUUUAUUCGCAGCAAACAGCAGCAUUACAGAUGCAGCCCGAAUAUAAAAAAUAUGACGACGCCACAGUGGCCCUAGUUUCGUACAGCACAUGGCGGAAUCUGUCACGGCGAGGCAAUUUUGUGAGACAACGAGAGUCUCUCGGGUGUGCGUGUGAUCAAGUUUUUGUGAAGAGCCUGCAUGAUCUUGCGCAUGAAGUAAAUAUUUUUGGACAGUUUCUUCUCUGGACGGCGUUACAAGUACAGGCAAGCGGGUAUCAACGGUUGUUAUUGCUGUACUUUGUGGUGUUGUGAUUCACCAGUGCGGAUCGAAGAGCACCGUUUUCUCCAGCCCGGAUUCUACAAUUUGGAGAUGGUGUACAAGGCGAUGUGCAAGUGCAUUUCACACCUUGGGGAGCUGCAAGAUAUGCUUUCACAAUCCUUGCUGCAAGUGUUCAAAUAAAGGGUUUCAAGUUUCA